rnacentral:tRNA from 1 species
GCGGGUGUAGCUCAGUGGUAGAGCGUCAGCUUCCCAAGCUGAAUGUCGUGGGUUCGAUCCCCAUCGCCCGCUCCA